UUGACGACAAUAUAAGCCAUCAGACUACCGAAUCUUUCUUUUUGAAUGCUAACCAACUCCAAUCUAAUAAAUUUAAGGUAGUUUAAGUUAGACUAGUUAGAUUUCAUUAAAUUAUAUUUGGUUACAGUAGAUGGAAUAGAUGAAGUUUGGUUAGAAUAUAUUGGUUUCAAAUUGUGGUCCAAGUCCAGCAGUUUCGAGGAAGGUGGGGGAUAAAUCGAUGUAAUCCAUCCCAGUACUGAACUGGUACUCGUUUUAUCGACCCCGAAAGGAUGAAACUCAACCUCGGCGCAAUAUGAAUGAAGAAGGUAAAGACAGACGAAAUGCCGAUAAGCAUUUUGCCCGGCACGCUAACGAUUCUGCCAGCUCGCCGCCUUUUAAGGAAUAGGACAAAAACACGUCAGAAUGGAAGGAAUCGGAAAAGAAAUUCAAAUUACAUAAAAAAGAAGUCUUUCAUCACUUACAUAUUAUAAGUCAUAAUGCAUGAAAAAGGAAAAUAUUAAAGUUUCACUGUGCCAGCGAAAACAAUUCUACCAAUAAUGCAUGUGAGAAACGUCACUGCUCAAGUCUUAUUUUAGUUACUAUCAUGCUAAAAUAUGCUUAUUUAUCACAACAGUAAUAAGGCUCCAGAAGAAUGCAAAUUCUAAAUGAAAGCCAGAAGGAUUGGAACGCAGAAGGUAGAAGUACGAAAAUAAAUAAUGAAAUAAAUAAAUGGAGAUAAAAAGAAAAGAAAAUCAUAGUGAGCUGCCGUAGUGUUUUUGCCAAUUCACCCCCACACUGUUUAACAGCAGCAAUUAGAUAAACAUUAAAAGCAACAACAGCUCCGCGAUAACAUUAAGGCAACGUUAUUAAUAACAAUGAUAACAACAACAGCGACGAUACUGACAAUAUUGACAAUAGCUAUAACAAGAGGAAGAGAUGAAACUUCUAAACGUCUAUUCCCACCUCAUCUAUACAUUUUAUUUUUAUUUUAUUUUAUAUUCCCUCGCGGAUAUCACUGCUCUGCGAUGGA